GAGACCCGGGCCAAGGGCAUGGUGGGGAAGCAGCAAGGACUAAAUGAAGCUCAUCAUGCUCACUGCCUGCCACUGAGGGCUUCCAGUUGUGGCAUGUGGGACGCUGCCUCAGCGUGGUUCAACGAGCAGUGUCAUGUCCGCGCCCAGGAUUCGAAUCAACGAAACACUGGGCCGCCUGCAGCGAAGCGAGCAAACUUAACCACUCUGCCACGGGGCCAGCCCCCCUUCCGGGGCCCUUUUGCUGCUGGAUGAGCCUGGUUCUCAGAUUGACAGCAAAUAGCAAAGCAAACAAGCUUCUCGAGACUGACGAUGUGGUGGUGCUAUCCUGGAUUAGGAGGAGUCCUUCUUCCUGAUUGCCUACUACUGUUAAGAGCACUAAAGUAAGCUUUCCUGGCUGAUGAAGUCCAGCACUCAAUGAGAAUGGCAGCUAAUCCUGAGUCAAUCUGCUGGAACUUAAAAGGAACCACCUCUAGGAGCUCCUCAAUAUCGUCCUCCUGCACUCAGGUUAGAGAUGUUUGUCGUCUCAACCACAGCCUUGCUGAUGUUUUGCACCGUCCUCAUCCUUGGCAAAUCCUUUGAAGUGAUGGACAAACCUCUUGGGAAUCUUCUUCCAGGUGCCAUUCAC
rnacentral:lncRNA from 1 species